UCCCCCUUGGCCGCCGCACCCCCUGCCCAUCUCCUACUCUCUCAAUUCUUGCAGCCACCAAACCCUAGCCGCCCCCCCUCUCAAUCCCCUCCUCCCAAGGUGCCAAUCCUUGCCGCUCGGAUCAUCGUCGUCGUGGUGCGAGUCUUCAAUCGUUUUGGUGGAGGGAAGAAGGGAGGAAGGAAAGGGGGAGAAUCCAAGGUGGUGGGCUUCCGGAUCGUACUUGGGAUUUGCCCGAACUUCCGGUAAAGGCAAGUAAAUACAGUGGUGGUUGCUACCGUUUGGUUUGCAUCCUAUUCCCUGUCAUUGAGUAUGCAUAAGUUUUAAUUAUGUUAAUCAUUAAAUUCUAUGAUGAAGUUUAUUUGUUUGGAAGUAUUAAUUCUCAAUUGUCUAACAUUGUGGAUGAUCAUAAUUUGGUAAUGAUAUAUGUGGUUGAUUCCCAUCUGGAUGAAGUUGAAGUGUCUUUUUGAAUCAUGUUAUAUGAAGUGUUGUAGGCAUGACAUGCACAUCGCAUCAUCCAUCUUGCAUUUUGAAGUUAUGUCGUGAUCUUAUGGUCCGACCGUACCGGUACAUUUUUAGCAUCGUACGUUGCCCGAGGAGGGGUACGAUGCGGCUUCAUAUCCUUAGAGGUAUGAAGGCAGAAGUCAUCCUUGCAUUUGCAGACAUUUGCACUCAUGAGGAAUAUAUGAAGUGUGACAUUACUAUGUUACUAUUGAUGUUUCUACCUGCGAGGUGUGGUAACUAGGUGCGUUGUACGUUGUAUACGUGCUGCACCUUCGUAAUAAGAAGGUUGUGGAAUUAAGUGGUGGUAAAACAAUGUUCUUAUGUGGUUAAACUGUUUGAUAUUAUUUUACUUGCUGAGAUGUGUCAUCUCACUCUUGCAUUACUCAAUGCAGGUACUUGAUACAUGUUGGGAAUGAGGGGAGUAGCAGCACGUCCACUUUCACUCUCACAAUAACGCUGCCCAGGCGCAGCCAUGAUUUAAUUAGAAACUUAUUAUCAAAGGAAGUUUGUUUACUUUUUUUAUAUGGUCGUGCGCACUGGUUAAUUCAGUUCAGGUCGUAUGUUUAUCUUUCCUUGCUAGCCGAGUAAUAAUACUUAGUAUGUUUUAGUCAUGAUAUAUGUUUAUACUCUGUUGCUCCCUCUUUUAUGCAAUCUUGCAAAGGGGAUGCUGCCGAAAUUUUAUAUAUAGAUGUCAGAAGUGUUGUUUAGUAGCAUGCCGGGGUGUUGGUGGACCCCGGGGUGUUACAGUUGGUAUCAAAGGAUAGGCUUUAGAUUCUACGCGAUUUGAAGAUAAAUUUGACACACUUGCACAUAUAGGAAGGGUAUGGGUUCAUAUAUCUUUCAUAUUAGUAUUUUAUUGUAUGGAUGACUAGAAUUUCCUUACUCCAAACCCCUUUAUGGUUUGAUGAGGUAUGUCGUUAACGACGUAAUGCUUGAUAUGAAAUGUUACUUCUUUUUAAUAUUGGUUUCUUGAUGUGGUUGUUAUUGAAAUUAUUAUGCGAGUGAAGCUACUAAUGUACUUGUUUUAUAUACAUAUCGUCAUGAUGUUUUUUGGGAUGCAAUGUUUACUAAUCUCUGAGCUAUUACCAUCAUAUAUUUCUAUAUGCUUGACUGUGGAUGUUUUUUUCCCAAAAGGAUUCUUGGGGUUCUAGUACUUGUAGGACCGAUUGUUUAUUGAGCUUGUGUAUAGAGGAUCUAAUCCGACUUGGUGUAGUGUGAAAACACUAUACAAUGAAGUUUUAUGGUGUUGUUGAGUUGGAUUGACUGUUGGGUUACAACCCAACUUAUCAAUGUAAUAUUUCCAUGGGUGCAGUGCUUUACACCUCACCUUUUUUUUGGCUAGUGUGGCUACUUGCCAACUUGAUCUUAGAGUACAAUAGGUUUGUCUCCAUAGAGCAAAGGCAAUGUUGUACUGUUUAUGAAAUCUUGAGACUAGAAGAACUCAAGUGAAUUUGCAAGAUGACGUGGGUAGAUAAGUCCAACCAUGUUUACAUGAUAGGUUUUCUUAUUGUGUGCAACCUUAUCUUUAAUAAUAAAUAGGGUGAUUUCAAGUGGAUUUUAUGUCUAUAUUAUAGUUGAAGAGGCAUGCAUGUUUUCCUUCUAUGGUUUGUUUCUAUAGCCAAAAAGGUUAUGCAUAAUUUCUAUUUGUUGGAGGCUAGUCAUGAGGACGAUAUGGACAACCCGUUUUAUAUUGUUUUUAAUCGCCGAUGAUACAUGGUAGUUUUUUUAUAUGAUCAGUUCUCUAUGCAUGCUUGUGGAAUUAUUAUUUGGACCGCUUUAUCUUAAACAAAGUCAAUGUUUAACUGGAAGUUGCUUAUGUUUGUUAGUCAUCUAUCUCUAUAAUGAUGUGGUUGUUGCAUUAGAUGGAGAUUUUUAUUAUAUGAAUGAUGGUUUGAUAGAUCAUGUAUGUCUACUACUUUGAAUUCAUCCUAUGACAUCACUAGGUACAAAUUGUUCAAGUGCAAUAAUAGGAGGUAUUGUUGUAUGUGAGGUUAAUCAAGGUAGUUGGGUUAGGUGGAUUAUCUUAUUGAAGUCCAAUUACUCCUGUUGAGCAUAGUAUCGUGUUAUUAUUUUAGUGUAGAAAGUAAUAUUUAUGAAGCUUUUGCAUGAGUCUGUGUCAAGAAGUACAUUAGUUUUUUCUUGUUGUUAUCCCUCCAUUGCUUUAUGAGUAUUGCAAAUUUUAUCUCUUUUGAGAGGGGGAAAAGAUGUUAUAUGACAUGAGCACCAUUUGCUUCACGUCAACAGAAUAGUUUUGGAGAUUUCUAGUAGUUGGAUUCUACUGUAAUAACAACCAUGUUUUAUAGAGCUGGAGACGGGUAUGUCAGGUGUUUCAUACAUUGUCGGUACAUGGAUGUUUGACCUUAGUGGCAUUAACAAACGAGGUUGUUGAAUUCAUUGAUUGUUGUGCUUAGUGUUCUAACCUAUUUGGUAGAGUGUUAUUUAAAGACUUUGUGGAGUUGCAUCCCAGUUUGGUAGUGGAAAAUCCUAGUGUAGAUGGCACCUGCCAAUGACUUGGGUUUCAUUUUAUAUUGUUUUUUUUAUUGUUGAUAAUGUGUUGUUUGGUUUUGGGAGGCAUUUUAAAUUAGUUGGAGGCUGAAUCAGGCUUCACUUAUCUAGAAUGUUUUGUAGUAUGUUUCUGCAUCUUUCCAUAGGAUGCUUAAUCACCAUGUUUGGUCUAAACAUUUGAGAGAUAUGGGUUUCUUAAAACAUCUUUGUUGGUGUCUCUAGCAGAGUGUGUCUUUAAUUUUGUACGGAAGAGUAGACAUUGAAGACAAUAUAAUUUGGUCUUUGUGGAUUAUGAAAGUUUUAGUAAUUUCAUGAUCUUUUCAAAGAGUAUGGGUUUCUAAUUCUCAUUGCAUAUAAUUGGAGUUAGGUUGCUCUGAAGUUGUUGCACUGUUGUGUCUAAACUUUAGGCGUCGUUAUAAUCACCAAUGAAUCGACCGCGUUUUGAUAGUUGCAGAGCAUAAAUUUGCGAAUUCUCUUUAAGAAAAACUUGUAGGUAUUUUCAGUACCUUUUUAAUGGGUAUUUACUUGUAACUGUCUGUUAAAUAGAUUUGGAGAGGUGGUUGCCCGGAUAUAAGUCGAAUCUCUAAUGUGCAGUAUCUCAGGCUGAGUUUAGCUGUAGGUCAUGCAGAGUUGUGGGCUAUAAGGAUAAAUUUGGGUGCAACUUUAUUGCAAAAGUCAUGGACAAUUUUCAAAACUUUUCCAACGCGUGUUCGUUGUAGUUUAAAUUGAGUAUAGCAGGAGUUAUAGGUUUUUGAAUUUUAUUUGUCCAUUGUUUCAAUCUUAUCAGUUUUGAAACAAAGGAGUUGCAUUGUUUUAUCGGUUUGGAAACCAAUUCCGAGGCACUCAUUAUAAUAAAAGUUUUAGGGAAUGUUAUAAUCUUUUCAGUGAGUUUAUAUUUGCAAAAUUUUGUUAGCUGCAGGGAGUUAUGAUAUCAUGUAUAGAAUGUGCUUGGAUGAAUAUGUGGGCAGACAUAACAUGCUUAAAUUGAUUCUUGUUUGCAUGAUGUGAGAUUAGGCUUAAAGGAUUUAAAAACUUAUCAUAUUGCUUCUAUACUUAUAUUUGUUCUAGGUGUCUCGUAAUGAAGAACCUAAAGUUAUUAGUCUUUCAAUGAACGCUUAAUCUUAGAAGAGUAAUGAACUUGAUAAAAUCUAUUGCUUGCUAUUGGGACUGCAUGACCAGUUUUAGUUAUGCAGCUAGUUCAGUGAAGUAAACCAUCUUUUCUGUAGAGAUGUUAUAUAUAAAAGUUGUGGCCAACUUAUUUAUCUUACUUGUGUAAAAAUUUCAUGACCAUAGGUCUAGUAGUUUGGGAGUUAUGAUUUUCUCAAGUCCAGUCUUGAAAUCUGUGCAGAUUCUAUACAGAUUUCGAAGCUGACCUAGUUUGCCCAAUUUAAACUUCGAAUAACUUAUUAUAAAUUAUAAAUAAGUUGUAGUACUUUUCUUAAUCGUUACAACAAAUUUUGGAUUAAUUUUUUUGGAGAUCUAUAAGUUAAGUUACAGCAGUUUUAAGUGUGAUCUCUGAAUCUGUCCAAAUUUGGACAGCAGAGCCUUUCUCGUGUCUUUUGACCUUAAUAUGCAUUGAAUUAACUUGAUGUGUUUAUAAAUGAAUUAUAGACAAUUCUACUAGCUUUAUAAAAAGUCUGGGAGCACCUGAAUUGGAUGAUUGAGACUCCAAUUAUGGAUUUUUGAAUUGAGUAGUUGAAUUAUGUCCAAGUCUGGACAGAAUUUACGUUUAGCACUGUUUGACCUUUCUAAGUGUCAAAUCUUGUUGUGAUGAUAAUACCAAGGGUAUAGUGGACUUUAUAAGUUUUCCAUCAAGUCCUAGUUUACUAAUUUUCGAUGCAUAUUUUUGUGAGUUAGGAGCAAAACAAUUAACCGCUGUGCUGCUAUCUAGAAAUAUGCAAGCAUUAAGUUGCUCUCUUGAAGUUGCUCUUGUGUGGCUAAGUUUGGUUUAGCCUAUAGGAACAUUAUAUGCCUUGCAUUCAUAUAUACAUUCCUUGAAGUACUUGCAUAUGUCAAUGAUUGAUUUGGUGUCAGGAAAGCUUGAUCCGAGGUAUAUAGGACCGUCUGCUAUCUUGGCCGAGUUGGCAGCUGGGCUUAGCACAUGUAAUUGUCGGAAUCUGUGAUCAGAGUACACCAAGUAUUUCAUGUCUUUUUGUUGAGGAAGUAUUUGCGGAAUCCAGACCAUCAAAUCGAGCUAGAGCCGAUUCCUGUGUAGCAAGAGCAGACUCUAGAGUGUCGUCUGUUGCGUAUCUUAGAAUCCUAGGAGCUUGAGGAGCUGAUACGACAGAAGUACUCGAACUUUUCUUUAUGUGUGAGUUUUGUUGAUUCAUUAACCUUUCUUUUAUUGUUCCGAUAGAAGCGUCAGAAUUCGAGGUCGAAUUCUUUUUAAGAGGGGUAGAGUGUGAUACCCGGUUUGCAAAGAAGAGAAGUUGGGGGUUGUUCUUUUUGUUUUUUUUCCUCAUCCGGUUGUUGUUUUGGGGAUUUGGGAUUUUGUGGAAAACAUUCACAACUAGGGCAGUAGAAUUUAUUUGGUUUGACGCUUGCUUUGCGGUCGGGAGCUGUCGCGUGGGUUAGUUGGGCCGCAAUUGGAGUUUCGGCCCAUUAACCCUCCCAAACCCUAGCCGCCUCCCUCCUAACCCCCUCCCCCCAUGUGCAGCCCCCCUCACUUCUCUUCCCCCUUGGCCGCCGCACCCCCUGCCCAUCUCCUCCUCUCUCAAUUCUUGCAGCCACCAAACCCUAGCCGCCCCCCUCUCAAUCCCCUCCUCCCAAGGUGCCAAUCCUUGCCGCUCGGAUCAUCGUCGUCGUGGUGCGAGUCUUCAAUCGUUUUGGUGGAGGGAAGAAGGGAGGAAGGAAAGGGGGAGAAUCCAAGGUGGUGGGCUUCAGGAUCGUACUUGGGAUUUGCCCGAACUUCCGGUAAAGGCAAGUAAAUACAAUGGUGGUUGCUACCGUUUGGUUUGCAUCCUAUUCCCUGUCAUUGAGUAUGCAUAAGUUUUAAUUAUGUUAAUCAUUGAAUUCUAUGAUGAAGUUUAUUUGUUUGGAAGUAUUAAUUCUCAAUUGUCUAACAUUGUGGAUGAUCAUAAUUUGGUAAUGAUAUAUGUGGUUGAUUCCCAUCUGGAUGAAGUUGAAGUGUCUUUUUGAAUCAUGUUAUAUGAAGUGUUGUAGGCAUGACAUGCACAUCGCAUCAUCCAUCUUGCAUUUUGAAGUUAUGUCGUGAUCUUAUGGUCCGACCGUACCGGUACAUUUUUAGCAUCGUACGUUGCCCGAGGAGGGGUACGAUGCGGCUUCAUAUCCUUAGAGGUAUGAAGGCAGAAGUCAUCCUUGCAUUUGCAGACAUUUGCACUCAUGAGGAAUAUAUGAAGUGUGACAUUACUAUGUUACUAUUGUGGUUUCUACCUGCGAGGUGUGGUAACUAGGUGCGUUGUACGUUGUAUACGUGCUGCACCUUCGUAAUAAGAAGGUUGUGGAAUUAAGUGGUGGUAAAACAAUGUUCUUAUGUGGUUAAACUGUUUGAUAUUAUUUUACUUGCUGAGAUGUGUCAUCUCACUCUUGCAUUACUCAAUGCAGGUACUUGAUACAUGUUGGGAAUGAGGGGAGUAGCAGCACGUCCACUUUCACUCUCACAAUAACGCUGCCCAGGCGCAGCCAUGAUUUAAUUAGAAACUUAUUAUCAAAGGAAGU
rnacentral:lncRNA from 1 species